GACGAACGCUGGCGGCGUGCUUAACACAUGCAAGUCGAACGGUGAAGCGCCUUCCUUUUUGGUGGGUGUGGAUGAGUGGCGAACGGGUGAGUAACACGUGAGUAACCUGCCCCCUUCUUCUGGAUAACCGCAUGAAAGUGUGGCUAAUACGGGAUAUUCUGGGUCUGUCGCAUGAUGGGUCUGGGAAAGAUAUUGUUUCGGUGGGGGAUGGGCUCGCGGCCUAUCAGCUUGUUGGUGGGGUGAUGGCCUACCAAGGCGGUGACGGGUAGCCGGCCUGAGAGGGUGGACGGUCACACUGGGACUGAGACACGGCCCAGACUCAUACGGGAGGCAGCAGGGGGGAAUAUUGCACAAUGGGCGCAAGCCUGAUGCAGCGACGCCGCGUGAGGGAUGGAGGCCUUCGGGUUGUGAACCUCUUUCGCCAGUGAAGCAGGCCUGCCUCGUUUGUGGGUGGGUUGACGGUAGCUGGAUAAGAAGCGCCGGCUAACUACGUG
rnacentral:rRNA from 1 species